rnacentral:rRNA from 1 species
AGUGAACGCUGGCGGUAGGCCUAACACAUGCAAGUCGAACGGCAGCACAGUAAGAGCUUGCUCUUACGGGUGGCGAGUGGCGGACGGGUGAGGAAUACAUCGGAAUCUACUUUUUCGUGGGGGAUAACGUAGGGAAACUUACGCUAAUACCGCAUACGACCUACGGGUGAAAGCAGGGGAUCUUCGGACCUUGCGCGAUUGAAUGAGCCGAUGUCGGAUUAGCUAGUUGGCGGGGUAAAGGCCCACCCAGGCGACGAUCCGUAGCUGGUCUGAGAGGAUGGUCAGCCACACUGGAACUGAGACACGGUCCAGACGCCUACGGGAGGCAGAAGUGGGGAAUAUUGGACAAUGGGCGCAAGCCUGAUCCAGCCAUACCGCGUGGGUGAAGAAGGCCUUCGGGUGGUAAAGCCCUUUUGUGGGGAAAGAAAAGCAGCAGGUUAAUACCCCGCUGUUCUGACGGUACCGAAAGAAUAAGCACCGGCUAACUUCGU